UUGGCAUUGAGCCAAUUCUGAUGGGUCUGUCAUGUCGGGGGUCGCUUACUACGAAGGUUUGUUUUAUAUUUUUAAUUCUAACAUCAUGCGUUUGAAUGUAUUGGCCGUUUUGAACAGAUUCAAAUCGGUGAAUAUUUUCAGUGGUUACGCCCGUGUGAAGAAUCGGAUGACCCUGGAAGACCCAGUGAUGGCCAUAAGCAGCCGAGGAACAGUCAGUUUCGGACCAGCAGUUAAGAGGAUAAGUUCUGUUGAUUACCGGUACACUCAAGUAUUUAUUCUUUAAGUUCUUUUAGUUUCUUAACUGUAAUUAGAGUUGUUUUAUAGUUUUUUUUGGUG
rnacentral:lncRNA from 1 species